GAUGAACGCUGGCGGCGUGCCUAAUACAUGCAAGUCGAGCGAACGGACGAGAAGCUUGCUUUUCUGAUGUUAGCGGCGGACGGGUGAGUAACACGUGGAUAACCUACCUAUAAGACUGGGAUAACUUCGGGAAACCGGAGCUAAUACCGGAUAAUAUUUUGAACCGCAUGGUUCAAAAGUGAAAGACGGUCUUGCUGUCACUUAUAGAUGGAUCCGCGCUGCAUUAGCUAGUUGGUAAGGUAACGGCUUACCAAGGCAACGAUGCAUAGCCGACCUGAGAGGGUGAUCGGCCACACUGGAACUGAGACACGGUCCAGACUCCUACGGGAGGCAGCAGUAGGGAAUCUUCCGCAAUGGGCGAAAGCCUGACGGAGCAACGCCGCGUGAGUGAUGAAGGUCUUCGGAUCGUAAAACUCUGUUAUUAGGGAAGAACAUAUGUGUAAGUAACUGUGCACAUCUUGACGGUACCUAAUCAGAAAGCCACGGCUAACUACGUGCCAGCAGCCGCGGUAAUACGUANGUGGGCAGCGUUAUCCGGAUUAUUGGGCGUAAGCGCGCGAGGCGGUUUUUUAAGUCUGAUGUGAAAGCCCACGGCUCAACCGUGGAGGGUCAUUGGAAACUGGAAAACUUGAGUGCAGAAGAGGAAAGUGGAAUUCCAUGUGUAGCGGUGAAAUGCGCAGAGAUAUGGAGGAACACCAGUGGCGAAGGCGACUUUCUGGUCUGUAACUGACGCUGAUGUGCGAAAGCGCGGGGAUCAAACAGGAUUAGAUACCCUGGUAGUUCACGCCGUAAACGAUGAGUGCUAAGUGUUAGGGGGUUUCCGCCCCUUAGUGCUGCAGCUAACGCAUUAAGCACUCCGCCUGGGGAGUACGACCGCAAGGUUGAAACUCAAAGGAAUUGACGGGGACCCGCACAAGCGGUGGAGCAUGUGGUUUAAUUCGAAGCAACGCGAAGAACCUUACCAAAUCUUGACAUCCUUUGACAACUCUAGAGAUAGAGCCUUCCCCUUCGGGGGACAAAGUGACAGGUGGUGCAUGGUUGUCGUCAGCUCGUGUCGUGAGAUGUUGGGUUAAGUCCCGCAACGAGCGCAACCCUUAAGCUUAGUUGCCAUCAUUAAGUUGGGCACUCUAAGUUGACUGCCGGUGACAAACCGGAGGAAGGUGGGGAUGACGUCAAAUCAUCAUGCCCCUUAUGAUUUGGGCUACACACGUGCUACAAUGGACAAUACAAAGGGCAGCGAAACCGCGAGGUCAAGCAAAUCCCAUAAAGUUGUUCUCAGUUCGGAUUGUAGUCUGCAACUCGACUACAUGAAGCUGGAAUCGCUAGUAAUCGUAGAUCAGCAUGCUACGGUGAAUACGUUCCCGGGUCU
rnacentral:rRNA from 1 species